GUCCUCUUAGUUAAAUGGAUAUAACAAGCCUCUCCUAAGGGUUUAUUGUAGGUUCGAUUCCUACAGAGGACG
rnacentral:tRNA from 1 species